rnacentral:lncRNA from 1 species
AGGUUGUUAAUUGUUAUUGAUGGUUUCUUUUACAGGGAAACGACUUUUCCUUAUCUUUGAAAAAUAAGAGAGUGGGAAUGCCAUCAUGCACGACUGAGUCCAGAUAGGUUUACUAGUGGAGUGCCAACUAAAGGAAAUCAAGUUUCAUCUUAUCCUCGAUAUAUAAAUGAUGGUGGGAAUUAUUUAAGCCUAGGAUGCACCUCUAAGUGAACAAAGAUCUAAGCCACCCAAUCUCACAGUACACCAUGAUUCAUGUACCAGGACAAGACAUUCUCUGUUCUACGUUAGCCCGGUAGAUUCUUUUCUGUUCUCUCCGAGAUCUUGUUGUUGCCAAGCUCAGAUUGGUUUUCUGUGAUGUGGCGUGACAUAAGAGACCCGGCUGUUUAAGAUCAUCAUACACCAGGACUUGUUCAAAAUGACAUGACAGGAAGACGACCUUAAAAAACAAAACGGUGGAAUUAUGUGGAUUAUGUGAUAACCAG